UGCAUUUGAAGCGUAUAUUGCCGCCAUUCUUUCUCGUUGGUUGCACGUUGUAUUUGUUUGGUGGCGAAUCAUUUCUCAUAUAAAACACAUUCAACAUGAGUGAAAACGGAGAAUAUGUGUUUCAGCGAUCAAGGUCGGCAUCCAGAGAAUCAAGAGACACAGGUGAACAUUCAGGAACAACAGUAGGAGAAGAGGAUAAUAAUUCUGCACCUUCACGUUCACUAUCAGCACACUCAUCACGUCUGUCUAGAUCCAGAUCCAAGUCCGGGUCUCCAUACAACUACAACAACCAGAGAAGAGCAGGGUACUCUAGGUCAAGGUCACGAUCAAGGUCAAGGUCACCACGUCAUCGCAGGAGACGUUCAUACAGCAGAUCUCACAGUCGUUCACGAUCAAGGAGUCCUUAUGGUGACAGGAGAAGAAGGUCUGGAGCUGGAAGGAGCAGGAGAGACCAUGACAGGGGACGUAGAACCUCGUACCGAAGCAGAUCCAGAUCACCACCUAGACGAGGAUACAGAGGAAAGCGGGACACCUCUCCUAUGUCAAACAGACGGCGACACCAAGGCAACAGGGACAACCCAGAGCCAACGCGAUGCUUGGGUAUUUUUGGAUUGAGUCUGUACACACAAGAGCGAGACCUUAGAGACGUGUUCUCACGUUAUGGUUCACUUGAAGAAGUACAAGUUGUAUAUGACAGACAGAGUGGACGAUCAAGAGGCUUUGCAUUUAUCUACUUUAGAAAUAUCGAAGAUUCUAUUGAGGCAAAGGAUCGAUGCACAGGAAGUGAAAUUGAUGGACGAAGGAUACGAGUAGACUACUCGAUCACAGAAAGAGCACACACACCAACGCCAGGAAUAUACCUUGGCAAACCAACUGCGAGUGGUUAUAGUGGUGGUGAACGUGGUAGUGGUGAACGGGGUAGUGGUGAACGUGGUGGGGGUAGUGAACGCGGUGGCGGUGAACGUGGUCGAAGUCGCAGAUCCCCUUCCCCAAAUCAUGGCAGACGAGGACGAUACAACUCAAGGUCACGAUCACGCUCAUUUUCUCCACGUGGUCAUUAUUGAGAGAGCUUAGUAUAAGUUCUCAGCAGGAAGUAGCGGAUACUGACAAUGUAAAAUUGUUCAUUACCAAGACAGAGCAUAGUUGAUGCAGGCUCCUACAUGUGGAAAUGUUAAAAUAAGUGUGCAGACUUUCAAAAAGUCUGUGUACAUACAAUUUUGUCAUGACACCAUAGAGACGUGUGGCAUGUUUUCCCGCUGCGGUGUUAAUAGCAGAAGAGACUAUUGCUUGGAUGAUGAAGAAAGAAAAUUGAAGAUUGAAGUAAGAAAUUGAAGAUCGUGAAUGCGUAAUAUUCUUCACAUCGUGUUAUGGGUUGAAGUAAUACCAAUAUUCGAAGAGAAGAAUGAAGAAAUGUGGUCAGAUUAGUUGAAAUCAAUUUCUGAAGAUGAAGAAGUUCUGUCUAAAGGAUAAAUUAUUCAGAAGUUAAGGAAUGAAAAAUCGAAGAAAGGUUCUGGAUAAAGAAAAAAUAAUGAGAAUAGGCUCUGUGAUAUGCAUAGAAAGAAUUGAAGUGGCAAAACAAAUAGAAGAUGGGUUGAUGAAAGAUGAAAUAUGAAGCGUGGUAGAAGACAUCGUUAGAGUCUAAAAAUGGGACAGAAGAAUGAAGUACAUGGGAGUAUAGGGAAGACCGAAAAUUAAUGCAUGGUUUCUUGAUUUGGGUAAGAUUGAUAUAUUUUUUUCAUAUUUCUAAAAGAAUUUUUACUUGCGAAAAAAAAAGAGUUAAAGAAUUGAUUUUUUAAACUUAGCUAUCAAAAGAAAGUCAUUUCAAUAACUGAUGCUGAGUUAACUUUGAAAUGUUUUAAAAUCUUGUGUUUUUAAAGUUCCGUGUAUUUGCUCAGAAAUGAAUUUUGCUGUGCAUGAAAGGUGUAUUCCAUUUAUUGUGUUGAAAUGGCAUAUUAUCAGCUUGAUUGAGAAGGUUUCUUGAUCAAUGUUUUCAGCCUGGUAUUGGUAAGUAUGGUUAUGUCAUGAUUAUGUAUAUAUGCGUUAUAUAACUGCUCAGCAAGUCAGGUGGAUAGAGGAUGAAAUUUGAUCUUGGGAAGAAUUAUCAACAAGACCGGUACCAUGCAAGGAGAAGACAAAGGACAGGAAAUGAACAGGAUGGGGUACAACUGGAAUGAUUUCCUUACGGGUCUACAUCAUCUGGAUAGAAGUCACUAGCAGAUUGAAUUUCCUUGUUCAAUUAAUUAAAAAGUGAAAACUA